rnacentral:rRNA from 1 species
GACGAACGCUGGCGGCGUGCUUAACACAUGCGAGUCGAACGGAAAGGCCCUGCUUUUGUGGGGUGCUCGAGUGGCGAACGGGUGAGUAACACGUGAGUAACCUGCCCUUGACUUUGGGAUAACUUCAGGAAACUGGGGCUAAUACCGGAUAGGAGCUCCUGCUGCAUGGUGGGGGUUGGAAAGUUUCGGCGGUUGGGGAUGGACUCGCGGCUUAUCAGCUUGUUGGUGGGGUAGUGGCUUACCAAGGCUUUGACGGGUAGCCGGCCUGAGAGGGUGACCGGCCACAUUGGGACUGAGAUACGGCCCAGACUCCUACGGGAGGCAGCAGUGGGGAAUAUUGCACAAUGGGCGGAAGGCUGAUGCAGCAACGCCGCGUGCGGGAUGACGGCCUUCGGGUUGUAAACCGCUUUCGCCUGUGACGAAGCGUGAGUGACGGUAAUGGGUAAAGAAGCACCGGCUAACUACGUG